rnacentral:rRNA from 1 species
CCUACGGGGAGCAGCAGUGGGGAAUAUUGGACAAUGGGGGCAACCCUGAUCCAGCCAUGCCGCGUGUGUGAAGAAGGCCCUCGGGUUGUAAAGCACUUUCAGUGAGGAAGAACGCCUGGUGGUUAAUACCCAUCAGGAAAGACAUCACUCACAGAAGAAGCACCGGCUAACUCCGUGCCAGCAGCCGCGGUAAUACGGAGGGUGCGAGCGUUAAUCGGAAUUACUGGGCGUAAAGCGCGCGUAGGUGGCUUGAUAAGCCGGUUGUGAAAGCCCCGGGCUCAACCUGGGAACGGCAUCCGGAACUGUCAAGCUAGAGUGCAGGAGAGGAAGGUAGAAUUCCCGGUGUAGCGGUGAAAUGCGUAGAGAUCGGGAGGAAUACCAGUGGCGAAGGCGGCCUUCUGGACUGACACUGACACUGAGGUGCGAAAGCGUGGGUAGCAAACAGGAUUAGAUACCCCUGUAGUC